rnacentral:rRNA from 1 species
GGGGUGGGGGUGGGGGUGGGGAGGUGGGUUCGGUUUCACCUCACCUGAGGGGGGGUUCGGGUUUGAGGAGCGUCUGGCCUCUCUCUUUAAAAUGUCUCUCUCCCUCUCCCUCCCUCUCUAGCGCCGCCCGUCCGCCCGUCCGUCGGGCACACACACACGCACGCCAGCGCAUUAGCGACAGCGUAAGCGAGGAGGUGGUGGAGGAGAGGAGUCGCCGUCGCCGCGGAGGUCUCUUUGGGCUCGUGGUUUAGGAUUGUUGGCGGAUUAGGGGCAGGGGGCGGGGGGUGAGCAGCGCCGCGAAGGUGGCGUGCGGUCUAGCCGCCGCGCCCCGAUCUAGGUUACGCCGGCGAGGACGAAGACGCGAUCACCGACGACGUCGACGAGGCCACCGCCGCGACCAACCGACCGACGAACUACGCCUGCUAGACUUCUCCUCCUCCUCCGCGCCGCCCCUACCGCCGACGCCGCCCCCGCCGCGGCUCGCCGCCGGGCCAUAAAUUCUCACCGGGAGAGAAGUAUAGUAGGUUUCCUUAACCUACCUUUAGAACCUUUUUCGCAACCAAGUAAGAGUGGGCUUGUAGCGACUAAAAGAAGUUCUUACUGGGAUUAAGGAAUGGGGUUUCUCCACCACUUCACUUACAAUGAAACCCUCCUUAACUGAACUUAUUAAGACCCUCACAUCACCAGUCCCUUCUGUUCUUCAAUAACUGACAGGAUAAAGGUCUACCAGCACUACCAGCACGAAAAUGGAACUUCCGUCUUUGUAGACUUCUAAACGAACUCACCUUUUGCCGUAACCUUCUUCGAGAACGUGUCCGAGGUUUACGUCGAGAGCACUAACCUGUAUUACCCUAUAAGGCAUUACUGUGUGGUCUACGUAUGCUUCCUCGUCGAGGUUUAACCUCUCUCUUCUCCGGAUGGUUUAGGAACCAACAACCUUCCGGUUAAGAAGAACGUGAUCUUCUAUAACUACCGUCGGGAAGAAAAGAUCUUUUUCGAAACACAAAAGAACUCUUUGUACCCUAUUUCCACCUCCCUUAAAACGCAGUCCGACGUCUACACCUCCUCCAACUGUCUUCUUACUUACUUAUACUCGUUCCGUCCUGACUCAAACGUGGCCUACUCCUACGAGUACAACAGCCACUGACACAUUUCGUACAAGACGCACUCGAUGGCAGAAGAGGUCACGGACGAAGGACGACGUGUCGUAAUAAUCUUCGAAAGGCAGAUCUCUCAUUCCUUAGAGCCUAUUUAAGCUACGCACGUCGCUACAGACUCUGUAAAGGGCUCGGAUUAUCCGCCGACGAUGUCUCUUAAAACUCCUACUACAUGUGACAACGAAGAGUAUGAUGACUCUUAGCUUACUGAGGUAGUCGUCAACGACGAACAUACCGAGGAGAGAACGACGCAGGUGAAGACCGCCCACUUACACUCUACCUUCUACUGUAUCUGUACUCACUACUGUCAAGACGAGUCGAAUAUCGACGACGUUUACGACGAUUGUUACGAGUUACGUAACAGUGUUGAGAUAAUCUCCUUAUACUCUCGUAUAAACUACUACUUGUGGGUUCCACAAGGGAGAGUGGGCUAAGAGCUUAAGUUCUAUCACCUUCACUUCUCAGAUGUCUACUACUUUGACACCUACGGUUUCUAUUACCCAAAGUACUACGUCUCUUACUACAUCUAGUUCUUAAUCUACUCGCAUAUGACUCACCUUUGAACUCACUUUCGUCACGUGCAUGACCACGACUGGAGAUACUGAUGGUCCAUCUGGGACCACUAAGUCUGCGGCUUGCAAAACAGUGUCUAUUCCGAAACCUUCGUUUCAGUCUAAAUUUCCUACGAGGUGUGUCGGUAAAUUUAGUUUUACCUUGCUAUUUACAGGUCUCUAAUGGCUUACCUUUACUAGGUUGUUUAGACCGAAGGUCAGUACUCAGAGGUAACAGUUACCCUCUCUAAGAAAGCAGAAACCUACGUCCUCAAGGAAAUAGACCAGGACCUCGACUUGUAAGACGUCUAUCCGUCAGGUAGUUCAGGUUACUUUGAGUCAAUGUACACUUCGCAAGAUUAUAAACCCCUGCCUCAUUACGUUCUUUCUCGGUCGUCAGUCUCAAACGACUAAGUAGCCCACUUCUUCUCGAACGAUAGGUUUCUGAACUCUAACGUUUCUUACUAGACGUUUAAUCCUAACGCUUUCUCUGAUCUCCAUUACGUUAGAAUGUCCGAUCAAACCUUUCUUCUUUCGUUCGAGACGUACUCGCGGCAAACCACGACCUUGUUCUACAUAGUUCCAACGUUCUCGUCGACGUCCGACUUUCCCUAGAAUCUCGACGUAAUCUUCAACCUAAUUCGUACAGAAGACGCGUUAAAAGACCAAGUGCACGAUACCUGAGAUUCUGUUUCCGUCUCGAACUCCUCUAACGAGAGCGUCUUCGACUACAACGUUCCAAUUUCGUCUUCCAACGUCUCGACGUACAGGUUGAAUCAGUUGUCGCGGUUGUGGUCAUGCUGAGAAAACAUCUACUCUUACUGGCAAUAGUCGUAGCAGGUUCAGUAGAGGGUGUCUCGAAACAAGUUGGUCCCAAACUAUGAUUUGAACGAAAGACAUUAGUUCUCUUCUUCGUCUCCUUGCUCCUCUCGAACAGCCCGCGUAGUGUGACCUCUUCAUAGUUUGUCGUGCACGACUGGGUCCGAAGAAGCUUCGGGAAGAGGGCGUUCGUGAGGGACCUACGGAGAAGCUCGCUAAGUUCCCUCCACAGCAGUUCGUACGGUCACCUCUCGCCAAGCUACAGACGCUUGUUAGGUUCUCGUCCCCUCCGACAGCUCAUGCCCUCUGUUGGCGGGCACGGCAGCAGGUGGGACCAACUCGACUGCUGGUCUGACCUAAAGAAGUUUCUUGCCUCCAGCGUCAACUACCUUGUCGAGGUGUCAGAACUAAACCCUGUACCUAGGCGCGGCGUACCAAAAGUCAUGUUCAGAAGCAGUGGAACCUUGUCAGGCUCUAUCCUCCAAAACCAAAGAAGAUCAAGGUGCAAACAUAUAAGAACCAUUUCCUAUAAGCGGGGAAGAAAGCAAUCAACAUCGUCGACGAUCGCUCUUACAUAUAAGGAAAAAGAACAAAUAAAAAACCGACACGUCGUUGGAGUAGGCUCACACUAAAACAUUACAUUACAUACAUGCGUUGCUAAAUUUCCCAACUGUGAACAAAACUCACGUAUAGAGUGUCUACUACACAUUUGCGGCCACGAGGGUCUUUUGGCGGAAAAUACCGUGAAGCCGUUUUUUACCACGAGGUCGUCUACUACAUAAACGUC